GUGAUCAUAGACCUGUUCUGUGCUAUGCCUUGCUUCAUCUUGGCCUCCUGCUUUAGAUCUUGUACCUCUUUGUGCUGGAAAACCCCUCUGUCUGAGUGAGGAGCAGCACAUCUGGAUGCGGCCACAAUGAUGGAACAUAGAUCUUGGAGCACUCUGCAGACCUUCCCAAGACCACAAGGGUUCUUCAGCAGCUCGUGUUUGUGCCAUUAGGCAUUGAAGACAGGCUGCGGGAAGAAACGUCUGGAGCUGCAAUUUUAACUUGGCCUCCUUGCAAUGCUCGACCAAUUGCAGCAAGCUGGCCACUUCUGGCAGCGGGAUUGCCCUGCUGGGAGGCUGUGAUGGAGGAAAGCAGCUCGCUCUGGCACAAGCACGCAUGUGGAUUCGCUCCGGCUCUUGCUGCUUGAAGAUGCCUACCUGCCAACAGUGCAAGAACACCAACCUCUACGUAUGUCACUAUGGCUGUAGCCCUUCUGCGAGCAUCCUGAUUCCCCUCAAAGUUGCCCAAAACUGACCAUCCUGAAUCAAGAGAGGCGCAGGGCCAGGCUCCAUCGGUCCUGCACUCCAGAUGCUCCAUAAAGCAGAAGAUCUGUAUGUCCUGCUCUCCUAACAACGAAACCAUCUGUAUCUGUCUCACUUAGCUGGAUCGUUAUUUCUAAAUUGGAUCCUGGGGAAUGGAAAAACUUGUCGUCUAAUAAAGCAGCAGGCCUGGAGGAGCGAGUUGGCAGCUGCGGGAGGGACCGUGUCCAGCGCGCAUCAUGUUCUGGCAUGUCCAGCGCAGGGUUUCUAGCUUCCUUGGAUGAUUUCCCAAGACACCAGCUCCUUAUGAAGAAACCAAAGCCUCUUUUGUAGCGUGUAAUUCCACAACGACCUCUCUGAAGUGAGCUGGGGUGAGGCGGCAGCCCCGCUUCACUCCAGGCUGUUGUUUUUCCCUCCAGAAAAGAUGAAGUUGGGGAUAGUUUUCUGUGGUACAGUUGAAUCCAGCUUGUGAAAUUCACUUGCAGGUAAAUCACCAAAUCAAAGCCAUAAAAGGGAGUUAGUGAAUGCAGAUAUUAGGGCUGAAUUGCAUUCAAGCUGGCAAUCAAAAGUGAGAUUAUCUUUUAAGAGAGAAAUAUGGAUAGUGCCCAUCAGUGGUGCCCAGUGAUAAGACAAGAGGCAACAGGCACAAACUGAAGAUCUGCCUUGAACGUAACAAAACCCUUCACUGUGAGGAUGACUGUGCCCUGGAGCAGGUUCCUCAGAGAACUUUUGGGUCUCCAUCCUUCAAGGUGUUCAAAACACGUCUGGAUACAGUCCUGGGCACAGUGCCCUUGCACAAGGGCUUGAGCUAGGUGAUAGCCUGAGGUCCCUUCCCACCUCAACCCUCCAGUGAGUCUCUGAAUGUUUCUUCUGAGCAUAUGUGAAGCCUGCGACGUGGUGCUUGUUCUCUUGCUAGCUUUGCUUUGUCCACAGCUUCCUCACGUAGCAGCUUCUACGAUGUUAAGGAAAUGGUUAAACUUCUGGUUUCUUCCCCAUAUCCUGUGCUGGGGGACUGUGGUGAGCAGAGGACGCUGCCCGAGUUCAAGUCCAAGACACGUGUGCGAGGCAGAGCACAGCAAUGACCCCGGCAUCAUCCUCUGGAAGCCACGCGAGGAUGACGGGGGUCGCAACAAUCUGUGCACGUGUCGGAAGUCCAGGGGAUUGGAUGGUGAAACGAGAGCAGCGUCAUCCUUGAGGACAGGAUGACCGAAUGAGUACGUUUAUUUUGAUCACAAACUAUUCCUUUCCCUGGUGUCCUAACGGAUGAGUCCUGCUAGUGGUCUGUGGCAAUUCAUGAUUUUAUUCAUGAGUAAGACGCAGAAAUGCGUGUGUGUCUUGCCCCCGCAAUGAGAUCUGGAUUUCUUUUGUUUUGGUUUUGACAUUUGCAGAAUGAAGGGGGUGCUUGCAAAGGAUGUAAGUGAGGAAUUUG